CCCUUAGAUGUUCUGGGCCGCACGCGCGCUACACUGACUGAGCCAGCGAGCUUUUCCUUAACCGAGAGGUUUGGGUAAUCUUGUGAAACUCCGUCGUGCUGGGGAUAGAGCAUUGUAAUUAUUGCUCUUCAACGAGGAAUUCCUAGUAAGCGCAAGUCAUCAGCUUGCGUUGAUUACGUCCCUGCCCUUUGUACACACCGCCCGUCGCUAGUACCGAUUGAAUGUUCCGGUGAGCUCUUCGGACUGCGCGGUCUGCAGUUUCUGCGUUCCGUGCGGAAAGUUGCGCAAACCUUAACAUUUAGAGGAAGGAGAAGUCGUAACA
rnacentral:rRNA from 1 species